GCAGCCAUAGUUUAGAGAUAGAACAAUAGCCUUCCAAGCUAUUAGCGAGGUUUGAUUCCUUUGGCUGCU